CCGCCCCUUCUUCCCAGGCUGCUCCACUCUUCCCUACUGUAGAAAGAGAGUCAGUUGCAUUUGUAGGCUAGAAGUAGCAGUCUUACCUGUUUCAGGGUCUCUCCCGUGGACGUGGCUAACAAAUCUUCCUUUUCUGCUCCUGUGCCAAGUUCUUGGUUUGAGGGGAAAGCAGUCUGAGGCUUUAUUCUUUCUGGGAGACACCAGUAGCAGUGGUCUUCGUGGGAAACAAGAUAACUAAGAUGUCAAACAGCAUGGGGAUAAAAUGGAAACCUGCAGAAGCCCACAUUGAAGGCUCCCUGGGCCGAACACCACUCCCCAAGCAUCACCCUCUGAAAGAGACCAUCCAUGUAGGACUCAGUAGAAAAAGCUCAAUUCCAAACCUGAAGAUGUGAAGUGUAAAGAAUGAAGGAGAUACAAGAGAUGUGCUACAGUGUGAAAAGGAUCUAUCUGCCUGCUGAGCAGAGUGAUGGGAUCAUAUUCAGAGAACCGCCACCCCCAACCUACUAUAACAUGUGAGGGGAUUGUCCACCACCUACUGCACGCUGGGAAGCAGAAUAAAAAGUGUAUUAUGAUGUUCCAUUUGCAAUGUA